CCCAGAAAGCAGAAAAAGACAAUAAUAUGAUGCUGUCUUGGCCCCCUCUGAGCAUCGCCAUAUUUCUAAGCCCCGACCAAAUUCGUGACGUAUGUGACGAAGUAGGAAAUUUUCGAUCGUCAUUGGUCAAUAUCUUUUGGUCACACGUUUGUUAUAAAUACAAAAAAAAAAAAAAAAAUUCUUCCCAUUUUAGGUUAAAAAUGGUAUAAAUAAAAUAUGAUUGCUAUAUUAUAUAUAUUUUCGUAUUUAAAUAUGAAUCCAAAUUAUAAUUUUGAUCCAUAAAAAUUAACCGUACGAAAAAAAUUAAUGAACAGGCCAGUCGCUUGCAAAGUUUGCCGAUAUACCCUACACUAGACAACUAAUCACCCCGACACUGUCGGGUGUCCAUGCAACUAGCGUCCGCUGCAUGUUACAUAUACGAGCAGCUUGUCAUUCCGUUCAACUCUACUACCACUAGCGCAGUGCUUCCGUAAAUAUUCUCUGAAUCGUUGUUGUGUAGGCAUAUCUCGAAAUAGAUCUAUAUUGUUUGGUUUAACUCUGUUAUGGUUAUGGACACGAUGGAAGGGGAAGGUGUACUAAAACCCUACUCUUUUGAACCAAAAUACACGGCAGAAGAAAUUCUAGAGAGGCGACGCCGACGGCAAAGUGACGGCAGUGCACCACCAUCCCCACCGGCUCCGGAUCCAGAGGGUGAUCGACUUGCCAAUAACGACUGGUGUUUUUGUGGUCAAUGCACACCAAUGGAAACUGUGUUGCAAUCUCGAUGUUGUGUGGAGCUUGCAAACUGUAGGACACAUAUGAACGAAAGCAUACCAUGCAUUACAGCCCACCCGGACUUCGGGAAAGUUUGCCUUGAAAAGGCGGUCCUGCGAACAGCACUGGUUGCUCGUCUUGAUACGAGAGGGCUUGAUGUCAGGAACAUACCGGCUGAGCUUGAAAAUGAGUCGUAUAGGUAUUGUAGCUACAGAAUGUUCACCUACUGGAUUCAUGGAGUUCUAGGGCGACAUGUGAGGAGAGUGAUUCCAGCUUGCUCUGUCCAACUGAUUAGAGACACUUUCCCUGCAGCUGAUGGACGUUAUGUUGAAUUUCGCUAUGUACAGGAAGGAGAGGUUGAAGUAGUGCCAGAAGAAUAUGAACUAUAAACAGUAUUGCGUCUACAUGUAUGAACCAAAAAAACUUAUUUAGAAUUGUGUAUCUUAGACUCAAACAAAACAAAUUAAAAAGUCUUGCAUGUAAUUUUGCUUGUCACAUACUGUAUACAUGUACAUUGUUUAUUUUUCCUUGAUAUCCCAUCCAAGCCCUUCUUCUGAGACUAGCCUAAAUGUAUGUCAGUAGGUAUUUGAAUUAUGGUUAAGUCCUCCAAGACUGCAUGUCGCUACAUCCAUUCUACAUGUAGAUUUGAAUCUUUAUUUACCAUGUUAUAGUGUAUGUAUUUGUUUAGCAUUUGAUAGCCAUGUUUUUUCAAUCCAGUUUGAAUAUCACAACUGAUUGUAAUGAACAAAGAGUGACAUGUUUGUCAACCUCAUGAUCUCUUGAUGAAUGUGUACUACCUCAACAUAAAUUUUACUGAAUAUGUGAAUGGUGAGCUUAAAACCCCCCCCCCCCCCAAUAAAGAAAACAAUAUUGACUUUUCUUUCACUUUUCUCGUUAAAUUUGAAAGUACAUGUAUGUAGUACGUAUGCUUAGUGAAAUAAUUCAAAAUUUUAGCCUUUACUGGUACAUUGAAACUCCAAAACAGAUAGGUAUAGAUUACAACCAUGCAAGGGGGCAGUGUCUAUAUUAUGCUUUUCACACUACAAAACCCCAGGAAAUUGGAGGGGCUAGAGGGGGCCUUAGCACCACCAAUUUCCCAGUGUUCAGCGUAGCCCACUUCAAUUUCACAUCGCGUUUUACCAAAGUGGGCUAGCACGGUAAAUAGUAUGGUAUAAUCUGGCCCUGCCAAAAAGCAGGGUUAGCUGGCUUAUUUUGCGGUGCUAAGAAAUGCAGUGUGAAACCGAACACGUCUAAGCAUUAGCCAAUCACAGAGAUAAGCUUUGUGCUAGUCAGGGGUUAAGGCAUGUACAGUGUGAAACGUGAUAAAAAUCCUCAACCCGGCUGAGCAAAUAGUAUGGGGUUAAGAAAGACAGUGUGGAACGAAAAAGGUAAUAUGGGGUUAAGAAAAUGUAGUGUGAAAAGCAUAUAUGGGUCUGAUUGAAAACACAUUUGUUACAUUUAAAAAAAAAUUAUGUUUUCAUUUCAUGAAGAACGUUUCACAUUUCUCAUUGAUUUUCUGACUUCCCUAUACAUGUACAUGUAAUUCCUUGAGUUUUUUAAUAUAUAUAAUUAGGCCUACUUUUUGGAAACUUGUAAUGUACGUUGCUAGGUGUACAUAUAUACAAUGUAAUAAUUCAGAAGGAAUAUUCAGUUGAUAUACAUUGGCAGGAUAAACAUUGAAUGGUUUUAUGUGUAGUAUUUUUCUCUGGAAAAGCAUUUCGUGUGCAUCGGGACAACCUGUUUCAAGAAAGUUUCAUCAAUCUUAGUUGGGGUCUGAUUUGAUCCCCAUGUCUGUUCCUUGAAUUUCUAUGGAGGUACAUGUAAGCAGGUCUAAGGAGUAAAGAAAUAAAACUAUGCAUGCAAUAUUCCAAGUUGCCAGCCCUGUAUACAUGUAUUGCCAUGCAUCGUUCACAUGUUAUUUCUCUAUCUUUUGCUUAAAGGAGUACUCGAGGCUGGAGCUCAAAAUACAGUAAAAUUCACCGAAGCAAAAUGGUGAAAAUUUCAUCAAAAUCAAUUGACAAAUAACAAAGUUAUUGAAUUUUAAAGUUUAGCAAUAUUUUUUGAAAUUUGACUGUUGCACCGAAAUAAUGUAAAGCUUUAAAGUGUCAUACACGUAACUUUCUUAUUCCUUGUCAGAUUUUGAUGAAAUUUUUAGUGAUUUGUUUGAUUUUACUUUAUCUGUUCCAAUAAUAUUAUCUCCAGCCCGGAGUACCCCUUACAUUGCACUUUGAACAUAUAUUUAUAAUUUGCUCAUAUUUAUACUUUAUUGAUCAUAAUUACACAGCAUUACAGGUGAUGAAACUCAAGGCAGUGUUGUUUGCAUAAUUUUAAUGUUGGAAUUGCAUUUUUUAUUGUUCUGUAAGCCAUAAGUGUUUUUUACAUGUGUAUAAUAAAAAUCUUUGAGUUGCGAAUUAUA